AAAAAGACAAAUCCUGGGUUUUCGUGUCCAACGUUUGACCCUCCGUCUUAUUUAAAAAAAAUUAAAAAGAUAAGACACGCAUAAAGUAUUAAUCAUGUUUUAUCAUCUAACAACAAUGAAAAUACUAAUUAUAAAAAAAAUUUAUAUAAGACAAACAGUCAAACGUUGGACACGGAAACCUAGGGUUUAUUUUUUG
rnacentral:pre_miRNA from 1 species